AUUUAAUAAGAAAGAACAAGUGUUUCUGCUCUAUGGGCAGAUCUGAAAAGGGAAGUCGGUUAAAAUCCGGCGCGGUCCCGCCACUGUAAGAGGGAGUCACCCCGUAUAAUGUCACCGGCAGUAUUAAAAACCGGGAAGGCGCGGGGAGGGCAAUGAUCUUGAGCCAGGAGACCUGCUUGUUCUGGAAGUGCAGU
rnacentral:ncRNA from 2 species